CACGCUGUAAACGAUGUCUACUGGCCGUUGGCCUCCUUGAGGGGUUAGUGGCGCAGCUAACGCGAUAAGUAGACCGCCUGGGGAGUACGGCCGCAAGGUUAAAACUCAAAUGAAUUGACGGGGGCCCGCACAAGCGGUGGAGCAUGUGGUUUAAUUCGACGCAACGCGAAGAACCUUACCUACUCUUGACAUCCUGUGAACCUUGUAGAGAUAUGAGGGUGCCUUCGGGAGCACAGAGACAGGUGC
rnacentral:rRNA from 1 species